rnacentral:rRNA from 1 species
AUUGAACGCUGGCGGCAGGCCUAACACAUGCAAGUCGAACGAGUGGCGGACGGGUGAGUAAUGUCUGGGAAACUGCCCGAUGGAGGGGGAUAACUACUGGAAACGGUAGCUAAUACCGCAUACCAUCGGAUGUGCCCAGAUGGGAUUAGCUUGUAGGUGAGGUAACGGCUCACCAAGGCAACGAUGCAUAGCCGACCUGAGAGGGUGAUCGGCCACACUGGAACUGAGACACGGUCCAGACGCCUACGAGAGGCAGCAGUGGGGAAUAUUGCACAAUGGGCGCAAGCCUGAUGCAGCCAUGCCGCGUGUAUGAAGAAGGCCUGCGGGUUGUAAAGUACUUUCAGCGGGGAGGCGUUACCCGCAGAAGAAGCACCGGCUAACUCCGUGCCAGCAGCCGCGGUAAUUC